rnacentral:rRNA from 1 species
UACGUAGGGUGCAAGCGUUAAUCGGAAUUACUGGGCGUAAAGCGUGCGCAGGCGGUUCGCUAAGACAGAUGUGAAAUCCCCGGGCUUAACCUGGGAACUGCAUUUGUGACUGGCGGGCUAGAGUAUGGCAGAGGGGGGGUAGAAUUCCACGUGUAGCAGUGAAAUGACGUAGAGAUGUGGAGGAAUACCGAUGGCGAAGGCAGCCCCCUGGGCCCAAUACUGACGCU